GUGACUUGUACGUGCAUUGAGUCAUGAUGACGCGGUCAGCACGCGUUCGCUGGCGCUGUUCACCGCCAUAAGUUAACUGGGGCUGUUCACCGCCACAAGUUCGCUGGGACUUUUCACCGCCAUAAGUUAACUGAGGAUGUUCACCGCCACAAGUUCGCUGGGACUGUUCGCCACCACAAGUUCGCUGGGGCUGUUCACCGCCGUAAGUUCGGUGGGGCUGUUCACGGCUACAAGUUCACAGGGGCUAUUCAUCGCCACAAGUUUGCUAGGAGCUGUUUACCGCCACAAGUUCGCUGGGGUUGUUUGCCUCCAUAAAUUGGCUAGGGCUGCCGCCGACCUACACAAGACUACUGCUACCUGGAGGGUAGUCCGGGGGUCAACGCUCCCGCGGCCCGGUCCAUGACCAGGUCUCCCGGUGGAUUAAGGCCUAAUCAACCAGGCUGUUACUGCUGGCAGCACGUAGUCCAACGUAUGAACCACAGCCCGGCUGAUCCGGUACUGACUUGAGCAGCAGCAGUAGCAGUAAAAAUAGUGUCAUCAGCAACGGUAGCAGCAACAGGAGCAGCAACAGGAGCAGCAACAGGAGCAGCAAAUGGAGCAGCAACAACACAGACAUCAUGAGGCAUGUCGUUGACAUAUCUGAAGUAUGCUCAAAGCCUAUUCCCCUAAGGAAAAAGAAGAGAAGAUGUAAACUUGAGAGAGACGGUCCCUCUACAGGCGAAGACGAAGAAUCACUGAGCUUCUCAAGGGGGGCUAGACUAUCUGAAAUGCGGAAGAAAGCACUGCCUAGGGAAGGAGAAAAUAUUAAACAUAAGUUAAAUUAUUCAUACAGGAUCUAGGGGACACGGAGCUAAAAACAAGUAAUGAAAUUGAGAGAUGUCCAAAAUGUUUCUUUUCCCCUUUCAUGUGCCUUAAGAAUGUUUAUGGAGAAAGAGUCGAGACAUGGGUGUCAUCUCGCAGUCGCUAAAAACAUCGGAUAUAGCCCAACUAUCUUUCCUGCCUCAAACGAUGUAUUAUAUUUUUGUUAGUGGAUUAUAUCUCCUUCAACGUUAAUAGUGGGAUUUCACCUAACUUCAUUGGUGUUCCAGUACCAAUUGUCCUCAAUCUCUACUGGCAUAGAAUUCUCUUAUGUUUUAAUAAUCUCUCCUUAAGAUAAUGUGUAU